UACGUAGGGUGCAAGCGUUUGUCCGGAAUUAUUGGGCGUAAAGAGCUCGUAGGCGGUCUGUCGCGUCGGAUGUGAAAACCCAGGGCUUAACCCUGGGCCUGCAUUCGAUACGGGCAGACUAGAGUUCGGUAGGGGAGACUGGAAUUCCUGGUGUAGCGGUGAAAUGCGCAGAUAUCCGGAGGAACACCGGUGGCGAAGGCGGGGUCUCUGGGCAGUAACUGACACUGAGGAGCGAAAGCGUGGGGAGCGAACAGG
rnacentral:rRNA from 1 species